GGCAAGCGUUGUUCGGAAUUACUGGGCGUAAAGGGCGCGUAGGCGGCCUUCUAAGUCGAACGUGAAAUCCCCGGGCUCAACCCGGGAACUGCGUCCGAUACUGGAAGGCUUGAAUCCGGGAGAGGGAUGCGGAAUUCCAGGUGUAGCGGUGAAAUGCGUAGAUAUCUGGAGGAACACCGGUGGCGAAGGCGGCAUCCUGGACCGGUAUUGACGCUGAGGCGCGAAAGCCAGGGGAGCAAACGGG
rnacentral:rRNA from 1 species